UCUCUCUCUGCCCCUCCCCCGUUCAUGCUCUGUCUCUCUCUGUCCCAAAAAUAAAUAAACGUUGAAAAAAAAAUAUUUAAAGAAGUAUGUUAUGAGAAACGUCAACUAUUUCUAGUAUCUCUAUCUGUACCAACAUUAGGAAGAGAAAGGUAGAAAGGGAGAACCAAAAAAAACAAAAAAACAGGAGUGAGCCUUUUUCUCUGUGGAUGAGAAGACCAUUCCUACAGGUUGUGCUUGUGUGUAAAGAAUACAAUCUAAGUCGCCAUUUUGAAUUCACCAUUUCAUUCAUUUUCAUCACCUACGUCAGCAUUUGCCACCCUGGCUUGAUGUCUGCCUGUCCCAGAAUGUGUUCUCCAACACAUUGCUUGAAGUGUUCUCCUUCACUGCUUGAAUAUUUUCUCUUGUCUGUUAUGCUGCUCGAAAUGUAGAGAUUAAUUUGGGUUAAGAAGCACUCCAUGUUUAGAUAUCAAUCCCCCCUGGGAAGGUUGGGAUGAGAGCACAGUCUUCAGUAUUAGACUGCCUGGAUUCAAAACCCAGCUCCAUCACUGACUAUAGCAUACUGACCUUGGGCAAGUUAUUUAACCUCUCUGUGCCUCAAUUUCCUCAUUUGUGGAGUGCAAAUAAUAGCACCUGUUUCCCAGGAUUGUUGGGGCUCUAAAGAGUUGAUGCAUGCCGAGAAUAGCGCUCGGCGGGGCGCCUGGGUGCCUCAGUCGGUUAAGCAUCCGACUUCAGCUCAGGUCAUGAUCUCGUGGUCCGUGAGUUCAAGCCCUGCAUUGGGACCUGUGCUAACAGCUCGGAGCCUGGACCUGUUUUGGAUUCUGUGUUUCCCUCUCUCUUUGCCCCUCCCCCACUCACUCUCUGUCUCUCAAAAAAGAAUUAACAUUAAACAAAAAGUAUAGUGCUAGGCACACAGGAAAGCACUGUAUAAGUGUUGGCUCUUUAUUGUGCUUAGGUGUUCACGCAUUAUUUAAAUCAAAUCUUAUUCUCCGUUGUCUGGCUGCAGAUGCCUCAUUAAGGGAAGAGAAGGUGAGCGGUUGAUGACUAGAUGAGCAGGAGCUAGGAAUACGGGAAGGGGGAGGAGUUACAGAGGGGAUGGAGAGGAUAAAAAACAUUAAGGACUUUGCAGAGUGAGUAAGCCUGCAUGAGAUGCUAUAUAGUUGCAGUCUUUGGGCCACUAGAAUAAAGUAUAUUAGAAAAUGGAAGAGAAGAAACGAAAGGAAGUGAGAAAUAAAUAUAAAAAAAAUAAAUAGCACACUUUUCAGAGCCUUGUCUAGUUUGACUUGUGUCUAGAAAAGGGGGCAGAAAUUCCUUUUCCUCCUCUUACUCUUGGGCUGGUGUCAUGAUUUAACUACAGCACGAAUGAAAUAAGAGUGUUGUGGGCAAACCCGAGAUCCCAACCAUCAUUUAUAAUGUUUCAACAGGAAAUCUUUUCUGAGUUCCAAAUAACAGGCUUCAGUGAUCUUUUGGAAGAGGAUCCAUGUUUGCUGCAACAACAACCUGGAUCAUAAGGAUUCUUCAUUGAUAAAGAUUAGUUUUUACAAUCUUCCCUGAAUUUCCAGGAAUUUAGCAGACAAUAUUUAAUGAGCAGUCCCGUAUAUCUCCUUGAACUUCGUCACAGCAUUUUUGUAGGACAAGUAUCUAUGUGUGAAAUUGCUGGGUCAAAGUGUUUAUUUUUUGAGAGAGAUAAGAGUGUGAGCGGGGGAAGGGCAGAGAGCCAGGCACA